rnacentral:tRNA from 1 species
CAAAGUGUAGCUAAAUCAGUAAAGCACCUCCCUUACACCGAGAAGAUUCCCGUGCAAUCCGGGUCACUUUGC